rnacentral:lncRNA from 1 species
UUGAGUUUGAGUGUGCAUUUCCUUAGUGAAAUCGUUGUUUCCUGUUUGGUUCGAGUUUGUCAGGUUUGUCCUAAUCUACCCGUUCCCCAUGCAGAUGUCCUUUUACUCCCUGGCUGAGUCUUUCCAUUGAUUUAUUUUCAUGGAAUUCCUCGAGUCCCGAGUUGUUUUAAAGUCGUAGCCUGGCCUACGCAUAAUCUUU